GAUUAUUCUGGAUACCAUAAAAACCUUGUCCAAUAACUGUUUACUACAUGUAAUUGUUGAGAAAACUGAUGAGCAAGUAGUUUUGAGAAGUAUUCUUGAAGGAAUCCUGAUCAUGUGCAAUUUUUUUUAUUAUUGAACAGAUCAGUGGUGAAGGAGCUGACACAAUAAGGUAAAUUAUAACUACCAGCAAUCAACAAACAAAAAAAACAUACAUGGCUAUACACAUGUACAUGUUGGGACACAUUGCUUUGUACAUGCAUUAAUUAUUAAUAUUGAUGUGACUUCAAAACAUUGAGUACUGUACCUUGAUACAGAGGCCUCUACUGAUAACAUUUAUUAAUAACUUAAUCAAACUGAGCUUAUAAAUACACAAAGACCAUGCUGCUCAUAUGAAUAUCACACGAGAAUCAGUGGUACUAGUAUGGAUAACCAACAUACAAAUACCGUGGAUGUUCCACAGGGUACGCAGAGAGAAAAAUACGGCCAUUUUAUCAAGCCUGCAGUUCCUAACAAUGUUUGAAUCAAUAACAUUUGGAUAUAAGCGCCUAUAACCCCCAAAUUAUUUUUUACUCCAAAACAAUAUCGACACAUUCUUGAUCACAAUACCAAAAAAAUGUUUGCUUUUGGUUGUAACUGCAAUUUUUUAUCAAUUUUCAGUCAUGAAAAAUUGCUAUAAUGAAAUUGUUACCGAGUCGAAGAAUGAGUCAAAAGGAUCUUGGUCUAGCACAUUUUGUGACAUCAUACACAGAGAUCAUUCGCAACACAUUCACACACAUAUACUUGUUCGUCUCAAGUUGUUGUAACAUUAUUCUGAGCAAGAAAAUGUACAUAAAACUGUGAGAGCCGAUCCAGUUCUUGGCAGUGUACAUUGAGCACCUCAGCAAACAAGAUUUGGGAAGAUUGAAUCCCAGGUUUGAUCAAUCAGGGAGUCUGCAGCAAAGAAUGCGUAAAGAUGAAAUUAUAAUUACAAGGGCUUUGGUUCAUUCAGGUUACAGAAUUUUGGUAGAAUUCAGGGUAAUUUAUCGUGUCAAUUGAAACAAUUAUCUUUGUUUGAAUGCAUUAAGUGAUUCUGGUGGCCGCCACUGAUUUGAGUCAGAGUUUCAAAUCUUCUCAGUCUGUUUACAUGUACUACAUGAACGAUCAACUUGAUUCAUGGCAGUUCACAUUUGUGCAUAGUUUACUGAAUUAUCUGAACAAACAACCACCACAAAAUUAAAGAUGUGAGACUUUCAUUGGCAAAUUGCAAUGCAAAUAGUUAUUCCAAGUCAGGGUAUUCUGACUUGGAAUAGGGUAAUUCUUUCUACAAAUCUUCAAAGCAAUUCCGGUUUAUUUAGAUCAGCUUUGCAUUCCCUGUGGAAUGAGAACGCUACAUCAACUGGGUUUACAAGCUCAUGGACAGAGUCUUCCAGAGUUUAGAAUCUGAAGAACUUUGGAUGACAAACGUGCAAUACAUCUAAACAACUUACAGUAUAUGUUUAAGAUUGCCAAGAAAAGGUUAUUUCAUUGACAUACUAGGGAAGUUCAUCACUACUUUUCAAUGGUAGUCUACUCUGGAGACUACCAUUUAUGUUCACUUCACCUUACAGGAUUUUAGAUGAGAUCAUGAUUGAACAUGAUUACAUGCCUUCCCAGCAAGAUGCCCAGCAAUGGCAUCAACUUUUAACACAAGAGUUGGGAGGAGAAGAACUAUGAACUGAAAAUCAAGAUGACCAACACUUGAGUCAAACUGUUGACAUUUUUGUAAAUUUUAAUUUGUUUUCAAAGAAAAGAAAAUGUUAAAAUCCAUACAUUAAUGAAUGUAAAUGAAUAAUUAUAAAUUUUCUUGAUUUCAUGACCAUUGGACAAAAAGCAAAAAUUGUUUGACAGAUUACACUGAGCAAUUUUUUGUUACACUUUUAGUUUAGUUGGCAAUUUUUGCAUAUGUAUAUAUACACUGUUUAUUGGAACAUAAGAUGUAUAAAGUUCUAUGUACAAACAAUAAAAGGAUUAUUGAUUACAUUAUGCUGCAAAUAUUAAGUUUAAUAAUAGGAAUAAGACAGUAAGAGUGAAAGGGCUAGCCUGUUACAAGAGACUUACUUUAAAA
rnacentral:lncRNA from 1 species